rnacentral:snRNA from 1 species
AGUUCUUUGUAUAUUUAGGAGAUCAUCCCUCUCUCUGAUGCCAGGGUUGAUUCGGCUGGUCUGGCUAGUUAGGUGGGUGUCCUCUACCUCCCUCACCUCUCUGUGUGAAUCCCUGCUGAAGCUACACACUUGGUCAAUGAGCAUGACCUUCCCCAAAUAAAGGAGGAUGAGAAUCAGUCUUGAGUCAAGAGUAUAUGAGUAGCUGCACUCUCCUGUUAGAACCUCCAAAUGAGAUCUCAAGGUACAACUGAUAUAUUUUUAUCUGAAAAAUCCAAGCCAGGAACAAAAUACUUUCAAGUAAUUGGAAUCUGGGAUUCUUUCCUU